rnacentral:snRNA from 1 species
GUGCUCACUUCGGCAGCAUAUAUACUAAAACUGGAACAAUACAGAGAACAUCAGCAUGGCCCCUGUACAAGGAUGACAAGCAAAUUUGUGAAGUGGUCCAUAUUUAA